GGGCUUGUAACUUAGAAAAUUAAAGCACGUGGCUACGAACCAUGGUGUCGGAGUUCGAAUCCCUCCUCGCCCA
rnacentral:tRNA from 1 species